rnacentral:rRNA from 1 species
GAUGAACGCUGGCGGCGUGCCUAAUACAUGCAAGUCGAGCGAACAGACGAGGAGCUUGCUCCUCUGACGUUAGCGGCGGACGGGUGAGUAACACGUGGAUAACCUACCUAUAAGACUGGGAUAACUUCGGGAAACCGGAGCUAAUACCGGAUAAUAUAUUGAACCGCAUGGUUCAAUAGUGAAAGACGGUUUUGCUGUCACUUAUAGAUGGAUCCGCGCCGCAUUAGCUAGUUGGUAAGGUAACGGCUUACCAAGGCAACGAUGCGUAGCCGACCUGAGAGGGUGAUCGGCCACACUGGAACGGAGACACGGUCCAGACUCCUACGGGAGGCAGCAGUAGGGAAUCUUACGCAAUGGGCGAAAGCCUGACGGAGCAACGCCGCGUGAGUGAUGAAGGUCUUCGGAUCGUAAAACUCUGUUAUUAGGGAAGAACAAAUGUGUAAGUAACUAUGCACGUCUUGACGGUACCUAAUCAGAAAGCCACGGCUAACUACGUG